rnacentral:snoRNA from 2 species
GAGCAGAUGAUGAAAUAAAAUUAUUGAUUGCUUAUUGGUUAUUCCAUGAAGCUAUCCUAAUUGAGCUUUUUAAAACUGAUGCUCA